AGACGAAAAGAAUAACUAUUAUUUCAGUAUGUUUAGAAUAGUAAAUGUCCAGGUUUUAGGACUACAAACUAAACACCAAUAAAAUAAAAUCUUCAUGCAAAUUCUUUAAAACUUCCUUUAAACCCUAAUCAUAUAAUGCAUCACCCAAUCCUUUGUAGUUUCUCUGACCUGCACAUCAAGUAACUGUGUGUAGAUGUCCUGAUGAGCUUUCCGCAGCUGUCUGUUCUCCUCUCGAAGGUUGUACACAUUCUCUAAAAGGAGGAGAUCUAGUGAUGAAAAACUAUAGCACAUAUACAUGGUUGUCUAUUUCCAGCCUGUGCUCAUCCAGAACAUGUUCAUGAUCCUGCCCUUGAUUCUGGCUCUUCUCUUGAAGUUCAUAAUAUUGCAUCUUCAAGUCUUCAUGUUGGGACUAAUUUAGUCAUUUACAAAAGAUGUCAGAAUUAUUAUGUUUAUUAUCCUCCACAAUUAAAAUGUCAGUUUUGUAACUAGUUUUUGGACUUCUAAGAACUUCCAUUGUGCCAUCUCACCUUCAGUAUUUGAUGCUCUGUCUGCAGAGCAUUUAGUCGAUAGGUUGAUUCUUGCUGUUAGGUCAAACAAAACUGUAAGUAAUUAUGCAUCCACAGCAGCUGACAGCAGCUCUAUACUGUUCACACAUCAUUAGUAAUCAAAACACCAUAUGUUUUGAAUUACCUUUUCUUUGUUGAGGGUCUUCUGUGAUUCCCGCUUAAACACAAGCAAAUCUAUGAUGUAUUGACAAUCAAUAGAGGCUUUUAAAAACAAAGGUGAAGCAGACUGCAUUCAGCACAACCUGGACUCAUUAUCACUCAAUGUUUAUUAUCAUUAUCAAAUCGCAUCCAGAUUAAGUGGGUUGUGUGUAUCAGGAAAUCAAUUAUUGUGCAAAUGAACAGGACAUUACCUUCUUCAGCCUUCUUAUGCUCAAGUCUUUCUUUCUGGAGGGAUUUCUCUAGCUUAGAAUGAUGCUCAUAUACAACUGAAAAGAAAAAAAUAA